rnacentral:rRNA from 1 species
UACGGAGGGAGCUAGCGUUGUUCGGAAUUACUGGGCGUAAAGCGCGCGUAGGCGGCUUUGUAAGUUAGAGGUGAAAGCCCGGGGCUCAACCCCGGAAUUGCCUUUAAGACUGCAUCGCUUGAAUCUGGGAGAGGUGAGUGGAAUUCCGAGUGUAGAGGUGAAAUUCGUAGAUAUUCGGAAGAACACCAGUGGCGAAGGCGGCUCACUGGACCGGCAUUGACGCUGAGGUGCGAAAGCGUGGGGAGCAAACAGG